rnacentral:rRNA from 1 species
AACGAACGCUGGCGGCAUGCCUAAUACAUGCAAGUCGAACGAGCCCACCGGGUCUAGUGGCGCACGGGUGCGUCACGCGUGGGAACCUGCCCUCAGGUUCGGACUAACUCCCCGACAGGGGUGCCAAUACCGGAUAAUGUCUUCGGACCAAAGAUUUAUCGCCAUUGGAUGGACCGGAGUUGGAUUAGCUAGUUGUUAGGGUAAUAGCCUACCAGGGCGUCGAUCCAUAGCUGGUCUGAGAGAAUGAUCAGCCACACUGGGACUGAGAAGCGGCCCAGACUCCUACGGGAGGCAGGAGAGGGGAAUAUUGGACCGUGGGCGAAAGCCUGAUCCAGCAAGGCCGCGUGAGUGAUGAAGGCCUUAGGGUUGUAAAGCGCUUUUACCCGGGAUGAUAAUGACAGUACCGGGAGAAUAAGCUCCGGCUAACUCCGUG